rnacentral:rRNA from 1 species
UACGGGGGGAGCAAGCGUUGUUCGGAGUUACUGGGCGUAAAGAGUGCGUAGGCGGUUUCGUAAGUCUGGUGUGAAAUCUCCCGGCUCAACUGGGAGGGUGCGCCGGAAACUGCGGAGCUGGAGUGUGGGAGAGGCAAGCGGAAUUCCUGGUGUAGCGGUGAAAUGCGUAGAUAUCAGGAGGAACACCUGCGGUGUAGACGGCUUGCUGGACCACAACUGACGCUGAGGCACGAAAGCCAGGGGAGCAAACGGG